CGUUCCGGAAGGCUUACACAUGCAGUCGAACGGUGUCUUCGGACAUAGUGGCGGACGGGUGAGUAACGCGUGAGAAUUUGGCUUCAGGUCUGGGACAACCACUGGAAACGGUGGCUAAUACCGGAUGUGCCCUUUGGGGUGAAAGGUUAAUUGCCUGAAGAUGAGCUCGCGUCUGAUUAGCUAGUUGGAAGUGUAAUGGACUCCCAAGGCGACGAUCAGUAGCUGGUCUGAGAGGACGAUCAGCCACACUGGGACUGAGACACGGCCCAGACUCCUACGGGAGGCAGCAGUGGGGAAUUUUCCGCAAUGGGCGAAAGCCUGACGGAGCAAUACCGCGUGAGGGAGGAAGGCUCUUGGGUCGUAAACCUCUUUUCUCAGGGAAGAACACAAUGACGGUACCUGAGGAAUAAGCAUCGGCUAACUCCGUGCCAGCAGCCGCGGUAAUACGGAGGAUGCAAGCGUUAUCCGGAAUGAUUGGGCGUAAAGCGUCCGCAGGUGGCAAUGUAAGUCUGCUGUUAAAGAGUCUAGCUCAACUAGAUAAGAGCAGUGGAAACUACAUAGCUAGAGUACGUUCGGGGCAGAGGGAAUUCCUGGUGUAGCGGUGAAAUGCGUAGAAAAA
rnacentral:rRNA from 1 species